CUCAGUAAUUCCUUGUUCUUUAGCUGUUGCUUCAGAUAAUCAUAUUUCCAGGGCAGCUUCUUACGUGGUCACACUUGCUAUGAUGUAAUCAAUCAAAUGAAGACUCACAGAAAAAUUCAUUAACUCAGCAGAGAAAAGCCUCCUUCCAGGUGCUUAGCUGAGUUAUUAAUAUUGGAACUCUUGCCACUGUUUAAGUACAAUUAGCCACCUAAAAAUGACAGUCAACCUCAAAAUAUGUACAAGAUACCCAAGAUGUUCCCAUCCUGGCUAGAUCUCACAGGGGACAUGAAAGACUUGCAGAACAUUAAUUCACACCCCAGAAUUUCAACAACGGAUGGAUCAAAGUACCACAUUUCUUCACAGCAGACUCUUGAAAUGCCAGAGGUCAAAAUCAUUACGUGCUGGGACAAAAGACAGGGUGAGGGGCUGGAGUGAAAGCCUUGGCCUGGAGGAGCUGUUUACCAGGGAACCCAGGCAAGCCAUGGGCGUGGGCUGUGGCCCUGCACUUUGAUGGCUGGCUGGGUCUGGGUGGCCUGCACUCAUUCGCCUCCUGUCUCACCCCACCAUCACCCAAGAUGAAGCCAUCUUUUCUGGCUCCUCCUUCUUUUUGGUAGAAAUGGUACCAGCUUGUGUGGUCUGGAGGGAAAGGACUUAAGGGUAUGAACCUCUCAGCAGCCAUGAUCCUUAUAGGACUUAGUGAGCUAUUUAGAGGUAUCUGAGGGAAUCAGAGCCUUGAGAGCACAGUAGAGACAUCACUGUUUGUUGACUAUUCAAAAAGGCAUUAUUUAGAGCAGGGUUCACAAGCUACGGCCUGUGGGCCAAAUCUAGCUGGCCAACUGUUUCUGUAAAUAAAGUUUUAUUGGAACACAGUGUGCUCAUUUGUUUCCAUAUUGUCUAUGGCUGUUUUUGCCCUACAACAGCAAAGUCGAGUAGUUGCAACAGAAACUACAUGGUUCACGAAGCCUAACAUAUUUACUCUCUGGCCCUUUCUGGAAAAAGUUUAAUGACCUCAAUUUAAAAGGUAUGGCUUAGAAUAUGUCUUCUCUUCCUCUCCCUGCCCCCAUUCCCAUUCCCAUCACACACACACACACACACACACACACACACACACACACACACACACUCCUGUCCUCCCAUCUAUGUGCCAUGACUUAUCUUUGCUUCUAGUCUGAGUCUCUCUC
ensembl:lincRNA